rnacentral:rRNA from 1 species
GAUGAACGCUAGCGGCAGGCUUAAUACAUGCAAGUCGAGGGGCAGCAUGAGUGUAGCAAUACAUUUGAUGGCGACCGGCAAACGGGUGCGGAACACGUACACAACUUUCCUAUAAGUGGGGAAUAGCCCAGAGAAAUUUGGAUUAAUACCCCGUAACAUAAUGAUGUGGCAUCACAUUAUUAUUAUAGCUUCGGCGCUUAUUGAUGGGUGCGCGGCUGAUUAGAUAGUUGGCGGGGUAACGGCCCACCAAGUCUACGAUCAGUAGCUGAUGUGAGAGCAUGAUCAGCCACACGGGCACUGAGACACGGGCCCGACUCCUACGGGAGGCAGCAGUAAGGAAUAUUGGUCAAUGGACGCAAGUCUGAACCAGCCAUGCCGCGUGAAGGAUGAAGGUCCUCUGGAUUGUAAACUUCUUUAUCUGGGACAAAAAGGGAAUUCUUUCUCACUUGACGGUACCAGAGGAAUAAGCACCGGCUAACUCCGUG